rnacentral:rRNA from 1 species
UACGGGGGGGGCAAGCGUUGUUCGGAAUUACUGGGCGUAAAGGGCUCGUAGGCGGCCAACUAAGUCCGACGUGAAAUCCCCAGGCUUAACUUGGGAACUGCGCUCGAAACUACUUGGCUAGAGUGUGGCAGAGGGAGGUGGAAUUCCACGUGUAGCGGUGAAAUGCGUAGAGAUGUGGAGGAACACCGAUGGCGAAGGCAGCCUCCUGGGCCAACACUGACGCUCAUGCACGAAAGCGUGGGGAGCAAACAGG